AAGCUUUUGAAUCGCUCUGUCCCAGGUACCUGCUUCUCCAAUGCAAAAGAUAGGCCCUGAGAAUCAGAAAAUGAAGGUUGGAAGGGCCCGCAGGAGCUCAUCUAGUCCAACCCCUGCUCAAAGCAGGACUGGCCCUACCUAGAUCAUCCCAGCUAGCCAGGUCUUAAAACCUCUAAAGAAUGGUGCUUUUAAGCUCUCAGGGUAGCCUGUUCCACUGCUUUCCUACCCUCCUAGUGAGAGUUUUUCCUAAUAUCUCAGCUUCCCUUGCUGCAACUUGAGACCAUUGCUCCUUGUCCUUGUUUCUGAAGCAAAACGCUUGCCCCUUGCAGAAUUUCUGGACCACCUCUGUGUUACACCCAGGGUGACUAGGAGCUUUUUUAUCUAGAGAAGUACAAGAGAAGCAACUAUACACUGAUUUAUUGGGAUAUUAUCAAUGAGGCAACUUUACCAAGAGCAGCUAAAUACAGCAAAGAAAAUAUAGACAUGUUCACUACUGGGUGGUGAGGUCUGAGGGCCCUCAGAAUCUUGUCUUCAGGGCUUGAGGCAAGUUCCAGACUCGCACCUCUCCCUUUUAUACAGUUCAGGAGUGUGGAUCAUGGUCCUUAUUUCAUGCACCCCUAUGCAAAUUAAAGCUCAGUAGCAACCAGCUAUAAAAGUUAGUACAGAUUUUUUUAGGUCUAACUUUAUAACUGGUUGGAGCAUGAUAUGAUAGGUACUUUGCAUGUGUAGAUGAUCUUAAGGUAAUUGUGCAGUUAACCAGGUAAUUGAGCAAUACCUGUAAGGUGUAGAGGAGCCCUAUGUUCACCUUACUAGCGUUGGGUGUGAUCCCUGCGCUUUGCAUCUCAACUGCCUUGAAACUGUCCCUCACAAUCUGUUUCUCUCACAAGAUAAUCAUUUUGAAUGCAGACUGACCUGCUUCUGAAAUCAGAAUAUCUGGAAGAAGGAAUACAGUGACACAACAAGCACAGCAAGGAGUGAGGAGUGUUCAUGGCUCCCCAGCAACAGCUACAAGGUCAUUCUUGCACUACCACAAGUAUAUGUGUUUUAGAAAGAAUGCUACCAGAUUGGCACCAUGAUUCAGAUGGAAUUUGGACUCCACUUUUGGCAUAUACUUGUGAAGAGAACAGGUGUCCAUGGGGUAGGAUGAAAAGCUCAGCUGUUAAAGCCAUCAACUUCCUUGCUCUUCUUGCAUACCUAAUUUCAAUUAAAAAUGGUGGUCAAAACCAUUAUAUCCUCUGAGCAUUUGAAUCACUUUUUAACAGUGGCGAGAACAAAACACAAAGGGCGUGGACAUGCCUGCAGGCUCGUGCACUUGCAGCAGCUCAAAUAGGAGUGGCAUAAAUUUGUGCCAGAGUUUUUUGCCUUAGCGCAUGUGCUUGAACAUGCACUUUGGUGUGGAGCGAGUUGUGCCACUUGGAGCAAACUGACCCUGCCCAGCUCCUCCUGUAUCUUCAACCAGGGGGAGCUAGAGGCUGUGGGGUGCUGGCCUCAGCAAUAUAAAAACCUGCUCUGGCGAGCAGCUCAGGGCUACUUGCCCUCGAGCUUCUGAGGCCCAGCCAUUUGGUAUCUGGGGACACUACCCCUUGCGCCAGCUGCACUGCUGAAGCAGCCCUAACCUGGAGUGGCCCCUGUAACUUCUACCCACUGCAGAAGUUUGGCACUGGGGGCUGCUGACUGUGACCUGCUGCCACCUGCAACAGCAUCCGUUCUCUUAGACCUGCAGCCCCAUGGCUACGCACCUGCCAGACCCAGAUGGGGUGCCCCUGCUCCGCCAUCUGGGCAGCUAUCACUAAGAAGAUGUGCUCCUUGCAGUGGCCCGCUUUGAACUAUCAAACCAUGUCCUUUUGGGCCCAAAUGGCCAAGAGGUCAGCCAUCUCAUCUGCCUUCCAGCUGGGUCCCAGUGCUGGCUCUGGACAGGUUCCUCUUCCCAGGUCACGCCACUUGUCUCACCAGCAGAGAUCCUGGUGUUCCCUGUUCAAACAUUGCAAAAUCGUUGAUAAGAAAGCCAAAUUCUCUCAUUAAAAUACCCAAAGUAGUGUUCUUUUGCUAUUAAAAUGAAAUGCCACUGUAUAGAGAGAGAUCAAUUGAGCAAUGUUUUAUUGAUAUAUUUACAUGUUUAAAGCAAAUUGGAAGCCUACCAGUGCUUCUAUCAUCAUAAUAAAAUGGAUUUUAAAUAUCUA